CCCCGGCGAGGGGAGUGAAAAAGAACCUGAAACCGUGUACGUACAAGCAGUGGGAGCACAGAGCAAUCUGUGUGACUGCGUACCUUUUGUAUAAUGGGUCAGCGACUUAUAUUCUGUAGCAAGGUUAACCGAAUAGGGGAGCCGAAGGGAAACCGAGUCUUAACUGGGCGUUAAGUUGCAGGGUAUAGACCCGAAACCCGGUGAUCUAGCCAUGGGCAGGUUGAAGGUUGGGUAACACUAACUGGAGGACCGAACCGACUAAUGUUGAAAAAUUAGCGGAUGACUUGUGGCUGGGGGUGAAAGGCCAAUCAAACCGGGAGAUAGCUGGUUCUCCCCGAAAGCUAUUUAGGUAGCGCCUCGUGAAUUCAUCUCCGGGGGUAGAGCACUGUUUCGGCAAGGGGGUCAUCCCGACUUACCAACCCGAUGCAAACUGCGAAUACCGGAGAAUGUUAUCACGGGAGACACACGGCGGGUGCUAACGUCCGUCGUGAAGAGGGAAACAACCCAGACCGCCAGCUAAGGUCCCAAAGUCAUGGUUAAGUGGGAAACGAUGUGGGAAGGCCCAGACAGCCAGGAUGUUGGCUUAGAAGCAGCCAUCAUUUAAAGAAAGCGUAAUAGCUCACUGGUCGAGUCGGCCUGCGCGGAAGAUGUAACGGGGCUAAACCAUGCACCGAAGCUGCGGCAGCGACACUGUGUGUUGUUGGGUAGGGGAGCGUUCUGUAAGCCUGUGAAGGUGUGCUGUGAGGCAUGCUGGAGGUAUCAGAAGUGCGAAUGCUGACAUAAGUAACGAUAAAGCGGGUGAAAAGCCCGCUCGCCGGAAGACCAAGGGUUCCUGUCCAACGUUAAUCGGGGCAGGGUGAGUCGACCCCUAAGGCGAGGCCGAAAGGCGUAGUCGAUGGGAAACAGGUUAAUAUUCCUGUACUUGGUGUUACUGCGAAGGGGGGACGGAGAAGGCUAUGUUGGCCGGGCGACGGUUGUCCCGGUUUAAGCGUGUAGGCUGGUUUUCCAGGCAAAUCCGGAAAAUCAAGGCUGAGGCGUGAUGACGAGGCACUACGGUGCUGAAGCAACAAAUGCCCUGCUUCCAGGAAAAGCCUCUAAGCAUCAGGUAACAUCAAAUCGUACCCCAAACCGACACAGGUGGUCAGGUAGAGAAUACCAAGGCGCUUGAGAGAACUCGGGUGAAGGAACUAGGCAAAAUGGUGCCGUAACUUCGGGAGAAGGCACGCUGAUAUGUAGGUGAAGUCCCUCGCGGAUGGAGCUGAAAUCAGUCGAAGAUACCAGCUGGCUGCAACUGUUUAUUAAAAACACAGCACUGUGCAAACACGAAAGUGGACGUAUACGGUGUGACGCCUGCCCGGUGCCGGAAGGUUAAUUGAUGGGGUCAGCGCAAGCGAAGCUCUUGAUCGAAGCCCCGGUAAACGGCGGCCGUAACUAUAACGGUCCUAAGGUAGCGAAAUUCCUUGUCGGGUAAGUUCCGACCUGCACGAAUGGCGUAAUGAUGGCCAGGCUGUCUCCACCCGAGACUCAGUGAAAUUGAACUCGCUGUGAAGAUGCAGUGUACCCGCGGCAAGACGGAAAGACCCCGUGAACCUUUACUAUAGCUUGACACUGAACAUUGAGCCUUGAUGUGUAGGAUAGGUGGGAGGCUUUGAAGUGUGGACGCCAGUCUGCAUGGAGCCGACCUUGAAAUACCACCCUUUAAUGUUUGAUGUUCUAACGUGGACCCGUGAUCCGGGUUGCGGACAGUGUCUGGUGGGUAGUUUGACUGGGGCGGUCUCCUCCUAAAGAGUAACGGAGGAGCACGAAGGUUGGCUAAUCCUGGUCGGACAUCAGGAGGUUAGUGCAAUGGCAUAAGCCAGCUUGACUGCGAGCGUGACGGCGCGAGCAGGUGCGAAAGCAGGUCAUAGUGAUCCGGUGGUUCUGAAUGGAAGGGCCAUCGCUCAACGGAUAAAAGGUACUCCGGGGAUAACAGGCUGAUACCGCCCAAGAGUUCAUAUCGACGGCGGUGUUUGGCACCUCGAUGUCGGCUCAUCACAUCCUGGGGCUGAAGUAGGUCCCAAGGGUAUGGCUGUUCGCCAUUUAAAGUGGUACGCGAGCUGGGUUUAGAACGUCGUGAGACAGUUCGGUCCCUAUCUGCCGUGGGCGCUGGAGAACUGAGGGGGGCUGCUCCUAGUACGAGAGGACCGGAGUGGACGCAUCACUGGUGUUCGGGUUGUCAUGCCAAUGGCACUGCCCGGUAGCUAAAUGCGGAAGAGAUAAGUGCUGAAAGCAUCUAAGCACGAAACUUGCCCCGAGAUGAGUUCUCCCUGACCCUUUAAGGGUCCUGAAGGAACGUUGAAGACGACGACGUUGAUAGGCCGGGUGUGUAAGCGCAGCGAUGCGUUGAGCUAACCGGUACUAAUGAACCGUGAGGCUUAACCUUACAACGCCGAAGGUGUUU
rnacentral:rRNA from 1 species